rnacentral:lncRNA from 1 species
ACAAGGGAGAGGUGCUGGGGCAUGGUUGGGCCUAUGUGCACCCUCUGGUGACCACGGCUUGCUGCGAGAAGGCCUGAGGUGGCAUGGCCACGGUGAGGGGCACGGCGGAGCACUCGCGAUGCACGGAGAAGCGGUGGCAACGUCGCGAGAGAGCGGCACCAAGGCACCCUUGCAGCUUAACCAGUGCGUAGCGAUGCCGCGAAGCUGCGAGAGAAGCAAAAAGGUGGCUGGAAGGGAACUGGGGCGAGCUUGAGCGGCGGGCGGGGCUUGCCGACGCUGAGCAAGAUGAGCAGGGGAAGAAAUAGGAAGCAAGCAGGGCGCUGUCGUCCGCUUCGGAUGAGGAUGGCGUGGAAUAGGCAAGGGCAAACAGGCGCACAGCUGCGUGGAGGGCAUGUCGGACGCCAGCGCGUCCACCACGGCGCUGGAGUGCGAUGCUGGCCGGUGGCAAAAGGUGGAGCUAGUGUAGCUCGUCCUAAUCCCUUCCCCCUCAUUUUCCAAAUUAUUCCCAAAAUUUGAAUAGCACUCAAAUUUCUGCCAAAACAAUGGUUGUUAAAAAUUUUGAACUCUACAAAUCAUAUUUAAUGACCCAAAGCAAAUUUUGAAUAGAGAGGGACGAAUUUGAGUCAAACAGUUUGAAAUUCAAAAAUUCAAUUUGGGGACAAAACUGGUUUGAAUUGGGGCAGAAUAGAAAUUCUAAAAUUACUUUCGAUUUUGUAUUGAAACUUCAAAAACUCAAAACACCAAAGUUGUACACCUUGACAAGAUCUACAACUUUGCUUUUGAACUCAUCCCCAAAUUUUGCUUAGUUUUUAAGUUACACAAAAGGAGGUAAAAGCUGGGGUUCAAAUUAGGGGUUUUUUCUUAGCUGCCUCCCUACAACUCUCCUUAACUAGGGAUUAAACAACCAUCAUAAGCAUCACUUCACUAGAUAAACACACUUUAAUUCCCUAAGCACAAUCAACCAAAAUAAACUUAUUUUAAGUUGAUGCAUAAUAAUGUGCUUAACAAAUAUGCUGUUGGCGUCUAGACUCGUGGUCUAGGCAAUAACAAGUAUGAGUCUGCGUGACUGACCAAACUUGGAUGAUGAUGCAAGUGAGACACAGAGGGUUUAUACUGGUUCGGGCCAAGAAUGUCCUACGUCCAGUGCGAUCGGAGGUUCUGUAUAACCUUGCACCCAAAGGUGCUUGUAGUAGGGGGUACAAGCAGGUUGCGAGAGAGGGCUAAGUCCCAGGUCUCGGCUUGGUGGUGGACAGAGUGCGGGUUGCUGCUCUGGGAAAGAGUGUUGUGUGCGUGAACCUUCUGGCCUCUGCCUUUAGUAGUGAGCCCUGGCUCCCCUUUUAUAGCCUCAAGGGGAGGACAGGUAUUUACAUGAGUAGAUUUCUUCUGUUGAAGGGUGAAACCACAGUCCCGACCCUAUUGAAGCUGGUCCAUCUCGUCCUUGGGGGAUGGUUGACAGUAUGGCUGCUCCUGUAGAGGGUUACCGAGCCCUGUAGGGGUCGCGGGGGUCGGAUCGCCGGCACUGCUGCACAUGCUGUCAAUAGUGGGAAAUGACCUCAAAUAGUGGUGCUGAUUAACCUCCCCCAUUCCCUUUCUACUGUGAGGCGGUAUGCCACAGUGAAAGAGGUAAGGGUGCAUAGUGACAGAGGUAAGGCCACAGUGACCAGGGUGGUUGGAACAGUCGUCGCCUUGCCCUGCCGCGGUAUGGGAGUUAUCGCGUCUGUCAUGUCGUGGGUACGGGCGCCGUGCGGUGGAAGUCUUGCCGCCCAGGCGGAGUGGGGUCCGGCGCCCGAGCCUGGACGGGGUCGGGCGAGUCGGAACUUGCGUCCGAGACCCUGGGGGGUCAGGCGAGUCGGAGCUCGCGUCCGAGGCCCUGAGGGGUCGGGCGAGUCGGAACUCGCGUCCGAGGCCCUGAGGGGUCGGGCGAGUCGGAACUCGCGGCCGAGGCCCUGAGGGGUCGGGUGAGUUGAAUGAACUGGGGCCCGUACCCUGAUGAUUGUGGUUAGUAUGUUUUUUUGCGUUUUUUAUUGCUCUGAUUUGGUUAUCCCUUAUUAUGGUACCCAACAGUAGCCCCCGAGCCUCUGAAGGGGUGUGGUCACCUCUUUAGAGGUUUUGUCCCCAGCGACUGUAGUUGACUAGGAGCCUUUUACUUUUCUCCGGGGGGUGCGCGCGAGCGCACCCACCGGGUGUAGCCCCCGAGCCUUUUAGAGGAAUGGCGUUAUUCCUUCAAAGGCUUUCACCCCUUGACAGCUAUAGUCCGGAGUGUUUUAAGGGAUAGGUUGCGUGUUCUUUACACGUAGUGCCUGUUCCCAUAGUGCGAGGAAGCCCCUGAGCCCUUUCCCCGCAAGGGUCGAUCAGGUUCUUUCUCGUCUUGUAAUUACGUCCCUCAUUCUUCCUUUCGCUCGGAGGAGGGGUGGGUCGUGCCGUACUACCCUCGAUGGGCGAGUGACGAUGCUUCCCGAGAGCUGCAGGCGGGUAGAUCCAAGUGGAUGUCCGAGUCCCGUUCGAUAGGGGUCGGCUAGUGGCCUUAUGGGCACAUCUCAAAAAGUACCCGGGGGCAGUCACGGUGGAUGUCGGAACCGUUCGUUAGGUUCCGAGGGCUCGAUGCCUCCCUCGAUGGGAUCCCACUCAUGUGACACCCGCAUGGGUCUCGGAUAUGACUUGUAAGAUGCGCCGACUCCCUGUUGGGCUCGAACCUUGGCCUCUAUUGUGCUCAUCUUCAGUCGUCCCUCGCUCAGUCAUCCUGAGGCGACUGUUCGAACCUGUGUCGCAGGUCAGUCUCGCAACCUCUGGAACGUAGGUGGCCAUGGCCUGGGGAUUUUGGGCCUCGAAAGGCUUUUUUCAGACUUGUUUCGUAGUGUUGGGGGUCGGGCGAGACGAAAUCUGCGCCCGACGGGAAACCGCCUUGCACCUUUAGCUCGGGGUCUUGAUGGGGUCGGGCUAGACGGAAUCUUGCGCCCGACGGAGGCCUCCCUGUGACGCUUGGUCCGCGGGGGGGUCGGGCGCCACGUCCCCUGGAAGGAACCGUCCUGACAUAACUUCUCAGGGCGCUCCUUUUGAGGCGCGGCGCGUGGGGACUCGAAACGGCCGUGCCGUCUCACCCCGGCUGGAUGGGACGUUUCGCCUGCGAAAUUAAUGCGCGCGUGCGGCGGGCGCGGGAAUCGGAGGGAGUUGGCGCUUCGAGUUUUUCACCUGAGUGGGCGACGGUUGCUCUCUCUCCCGCUUGGCCUUCCUCGCAGGGGCGUGGUCGUGGUUUGCCCCUUCUAUAAAAGCGACUACUGAGGGCUUGAUUUCUUUCCUCUCGCUCCUGCGCCACAAAGCCCCUGCUCUUUCUUCCGCCGCCAUCUCCUCCACUUCCGCCGCGCAGACACUCCUCCUCCUCCCAAAACCAUGGCCGGCGUCGAGGCGUGGCCGCCCAGCAAUGUGACCAAGUCCGCGCUGGAGGCGCGCGUGAAGGCCGGGAUUCUCCGUCCUCUCAAGGACGUCGGGUUCCCGGAGUGGAUCGCUCCCUCGGCGAACGACAGGGAGCCAAACCCGCCGCCGGGCUAUGUGGUCUGCUUCCUGUCGUUCUUAGACCGGGGGUUCGGGGUUCCGGCCGGCCGCCUGAUCAGGGCCAUCCUCCACUACUACGAGGUCGAGCUGCACAACCUGAAUCCCAACUCGGUGAUGCAGGCCGCUGUCUUCGCCACGGUUUGUGAGGGGUUCCUGGGGGUUCCAGUCAAUUGGAACCUCUGGCUUCACCUCUUCAAGGCGGACAUGUCGGCCCGUUACGUAGGGAAGGAGAAGAUCACCCUGCGGGGCGGUGGCUGCACGCUGCAGCUUCGUCAGCAACGGUCCGGAUUGUAUAUCUGGAGCUCGAUGCCGUCGUCAAACCGGGGGUGGCAGAGCGCAUGGUUCUACCUCCGAAAUGACAGCGGUCUCCUGCCGAAGUACACCAGGAAGAUGGUGACGGAGGCCCCCCAGAAGUGGGUGUGGGGCGCUCCGUCAGAGGAGCAGAAGAAGCUCGCCCCGCUUCUUGCGGGGCUUCAGAAGCUGCGAGAGGCCCGAGUCACUGCGGCCACGGUGGCAAUAGCGUUCCAUAAGAGGAGCCUGCUUCCGCUGGCGCAGCGCCGGGUGCCCAUGUUUGAGAUGACCCGGGACGUCCCUUGGGCAGGGACGAAGAUGUUAGCCGAGCCGAUAUCGGCUUCGGACAUCACCGCCCGGGUCGAGAAGACGACGCACCCGGAGAUGAAUAAUUCCCGGGUGGUGCCCAAGCGCCCUGAAAAGGGCUACAUUUCCUUGGUAAGAAGGUGUCCUUUAUUUCGAUCUCUUGCUCCCGUUUUUUUCUUUCACCUGAUUCCCUGUUGAUCUGCUUGCUCCACAGGGGAUCGGGGCCAUCAAGGAUUCCGCGCCCCCUGUCCCGGAGGACAGAGAGAUCCGGGCCAAGAAUCGGGCCCGGAACGAGGAGCAAAAGAAGGCCAAGGAAGACAAGAAGGCCAAGGCGGCGCGAAGGGCGGAGAGGCGGGAGAUCGCCUCCAAGAACCGCCGUGAAGCCGAGAAGGCAGGGGUCGCCCCGCCUCCGUCUCCUGAGACUUCAGUCUCGGAGAUAGAGGGCGGAGGUGACAAUACCGACUGGCUCGACGAGCUGGCGGAGGAGGAUGACGUGAUCCCUCCUGCCGGCGGGGGGAUCGAGGCCCCGGAGGGGUCGGAGGCCCGAGGGGGGUCGGAGGCUCCCGCGGGGAUCCAGGCGCCGGAGGGCGGACAAGCCGUCCCCCACAGCAUCGUGGAUGAUGAGGACAGCGCCCCUGGUGAGGGUUCAGCCCCCGUGGGUCCUCAAGAGGGGGAGAAGGCGUCGGGGGUCGGAUCCGAGGCGCCACCUCAACCGGUAGUGCCAGAGGCUCUGGUCGAGCCCUUGCCAGCGUCCGGGGCGAGGACCGGCGUCUCGGUGGAGGCGUCGCCGGCCGAGACCAUUGUGGUACCCCCGGUGACGUCGGUGGGCGAGGCGGAGGUCGGCCCGACGGCCUCUGGUGCUGCGGGAGGUCCUCAAGGAGCUCCGAGCUCCCAGAAGAAGUCUGCUCCCCGAGCGAGGUAUGUAUAGGAUUUCUGAUCCCUCUGCUGAUUUUUUUGUUUUUCUCUUUCUUCUAACCUAGAGUUAUUCCCCCAGCCGUAAGCAAAAGGCGCCUUCGGUGGCGCAGGCCCCCUGAAGGCUGUGAAGAGGGGGGCUCAGUCGACUCCUGGGUCGGCUAGGCCCGUGUCGCCGCCGCCGCCGGGCUUCGAGGAGGGAGGGCGCCACCAGGGGCAGGACACGGGGGCGCCGAAGUCUCAAGGACCGGAGGAUGCUGACCUGGGAGGUGUGGCCCGGCCUGCGCGUGUUGAGGAAGGCCGAGCCAUCGUGGCGUCCAGCGCGGCGCUCGAGGCCCCCGCGGCGGGAGAGGGAGAUGCCGGAUGGGGUAAGAGCCCCGUAAUCUGGCCCAACCUCGGCGAUGCCGAGGGGGGAGCCAGAUUCGUUCUGGAUGACCCGUCAGAGAAUUACCUCUGGGAGGGUCUGGACGCGUGUGGGCGUGCCGGUGUCGAGGCCCUCAACCGAGCUUCUCAGCUCGUGGGCCGUGACAUGUUUAAUCUGGCUCAGGUAAGAUUUUUACCCGUGUUGUGAAGUAGUUUUGUCCUUACUUUGCGAUAUUAACUCCCUGUGUGACCUCUGAUCUUGUAAGCGCUCAAGGCCACCUCCCAGGAGAAGUCGGUAUUUCUCCGUCGGGAAAGGGAUGCUUGGGCGUCCUUUGAGAACGAGAGGGCCGCCAGGGAGGCGGCUGAGGGGGAGCUCGCGAAGGAGUGCGAGAUUUCUGUCGAGCUUCGGCAGAAGUGCUUGGCGCUGGCUUCCGAGGCUCGGGAGGCCUGGGACAAGGUCGCCCCCCGGGAGGAGAGGAUUGGGGUCCUUGCCCAGGAAACCGAGGUGCAGAAGGCGGCGGCUGAGGGGUACAAGGGUGAGGUUGCUCGGCUUGAAGCUUUGCUCGCCGAAAAAGACCUCGCCUUGAACCAAGCUCAGACCGACCUAGACGGGGCUCUGAGCCAGGUGGCCCGCUGGCAUCAGAGCUCGGCGGAGCACGAGAAGCGUGCCGAGGGUAGGACUUGCACCCUUUACCUUGGACCCCUUUGUACUUUUGAAUUGGUCUUUCCUGACUCCUUAUUUCUUGUUGUAUUUUUCAAUCAGAAUUAGAGAUGAAGGUGGUCGAGGCGACCUCUACUGCCGAGGCCCUGCAAAAGUCCCUCGACGCCGAGGCUUCGGACCGCUCGGCUCUUGAAGCCGUGGUCACCUCGGCGUGUGAGGGGCUCGGGGUAUCGGUGUCGGGGUCGUCGCUGCGCAGUCGGAUCGAAGCCCUUUACUCCCGGGCCGGGGAGAGGAUGAGGGAGGCGCUCCACACCGGGGUGAAGAAGGCCCUGGCGGUGGUGAGCUCUCACUACGCCGGCAUUGAUUUGCCGGCGGUCUGUGAGGGCUACGUUCUCCCCAUGUAGCCCCCGAGGGAGGCUCGGACUCUGCUUGGCAGGUCCGAGGCUCUCUGAUAACUUAAACUUUGAUUUAUUCCUUGAAGGUAAUGAAUGAACAAAGAAAUUUUUACAAAGUUCUAAGGGUAAAAGCGACGUAGCUGUUCUAUGUUCCAUGCAUUUUUGAAGACCUCCCCUGCUUCAUUGGCGAGCUUGUAGGUUCCGGGUCGGAGGACUUCGGCGAUGACGAAGGGUCCUUCCCAGGGGGGUGUGAACUUGUGACGACCCUUGUUGCUCUGUCUGAGCCUUAGCACCAAGUCGCCGACUUGAAAGGCUCGGCCUCAGAUCCGUCGCGCAUGGUAUCGGCGGAGGGCCUGUUGGUACUUGGCGGAGUGUAGGAGGACUAUAUCUCUGGCUUCAUCCAGCUGGUCCAGCGCGUCUUCUUGGAACGUCUUGCCGCUAUUUUCGUCGUAAGCUUGUACCCUCGGGGACCCGUAUUCCAGAUCAGUGGGGAGGACGGCUUCCGACCCGUAGACCAUGAAGAACGGGGUGAAGCCUGUGGCUCGGCUUCGGGAGGUUCUCAGACUCCAGACCACGGCUGGUAGCUCUUUGAGCCACCUUUUUCCAAACUUGUUCAGACGAUUGAAAAUCCUGGGCUUCAAACCCUGGAGGAUCAUGCCAUUGGCACGCUCCACUUGACCGUUGGUCUUGGGGUGAGCCACUGCCGCCCAGUCCACACGUAUGUGGUGUCUGUCGCAGAAUUGCAAGAACUUUCGCCCAGUGAACUGUGUGCCGUUGUCGGUGAUUAUGGAGUUCGGCACUCCAAAUCGAUGGAUGAUAUCUGUGAAGAACAACACCGCCUGCUCGGCCUUGAUCCUUGUAAUGGGUCGGACUUCGAUCCACUUGGAGAACUUGUCGAUUGCGACGAGCAAGUGGGUGAAGCCCUCGGGCGCUUUCUGCAGAGGCCCGACCAGGUCGAGGCCCCAGAUAGCGAAAGGCCAGGUAAUGGGAAUCGUCUGCAAGGCCUGGGCGGGCUGAUGUAUCUGCCGAGCGUAAAACUGGCAUCCCUCACAGGUCCUUACGAUCUCUGUGGCGUCGGCCACAGCGGUGGGCCAGUAGAAGCCUUGUCGGAAGGCAUUUCCUACCAGCGUCCGAGGUGCGGCGUGAUGGCCACAAGCCCCCGAGUGUAUGUCCUGCAGGAGCCUAACUCCUUCCUGACGUGGGAUGCAACGCAUGAGGAUGCCCGAGGGGCUGCGCUUGUACAUCUCCCCGUCGAGGAGGACGAAGGUCUUGGCACGACGGGCCACGUGUCUUACCCCAGCCUGGUCCGGGGGCAAAGUGCCGUCGACGAGGCGUUGAAGCAAGGGGUAGCGCCAGUCAGGCGAGUCGUCACACGCGGGUGGUUCUGGCUCGAUGUCUAUGACCCCCUGCUCUGGAGCGGCGGUGUCUUUGGGGUCGGAACUUUGUUCGCUUCGGGGUUCGUCCGACCCCCCGUCGUCCUUGUAGUCGACGGAAGGCUUGUAGAGAUCGCUGACGAAAACAUCCGGGGGGACCGUGGCCCGCUCGGAUGCCAUCUUGGCGAGCGCGUCGGCGGCCUCGUUAUACUUCCUUAACACGUGGUUAAGUUCGAGACCGUCGAACUUUUCUUCCAGGCGUCGGACCGCUUUGCAGUACGCGUCCAUCUUGGGCUCAUGGCAGCUAGACUCUUUCAUGACUUGAUCGAUGAUGAGUCUAGAAUCGCCUCGGGCGUCGAGCCGUUUGAUCCCAAGCUCGGUCGCGAUGUGGAGACCGUUAACAAGGGCCUCGUACUCUGCUGCAUUGUUUGAAGCGGGGAAAUGGAGCCGGAUUGCGUAUCGCAUCCUUACCCCGAGAGGUGAGAUGAAGACGAGGCCCGCGCCGGCCCCAGUUUUCAUCAAGGACCCGUCGAAGUACAUGGUCCAGCAUUCGUGCUGGAUUUGUGGUGGUGGGAGCUGAGUCCCAGUCCACUCUGCCACAAAGUCCGCCAGGACCUGGGACUUUAUGGCUUUCCGAGGCUCAUAGGUGAUCCCAUCGCCCAUGAGCUCUAUGGCCCAUUUAGCAACCCUUCCGUUGGCUUCUCGGUUCUGAAUCACUUCCCCCAGGGGGAAAGACGAUACCACCGAGACUGGAUGAGACUCGAAGUAAUGGCGGAGCUUGCGGCGGGUCAGAACCACAGCGUAGAGCAGUUUUUGGAUCUGGAGGUAUCGGGUCUUUGUGUCGGAUAGUACUUCACUGACGAAGUAUACCGGUCUUUGGACCGGCAGGGCGUGCCCUUCUUCCUUCCUCUCGACCACGACAGCUGCGCUGGCCACCUGAUCAGUGGCUGCGACGUAGAGAAGUAGUGGUUCCCCCUCGGCGGGAGGCACCAGGAUGGGAGGGUUGGUGAGCAGAGCCUUGAGCUUGUCAAGGGCUUCCUGGGCCUCGGGGGUCCAGGAAAAGUGCUCAGAUUUCCUAAGUAACCUAUACAGAGGCAGUCCUUUUUCCCCGAGGCGAGAAAUGAAGCGGCUUAGGGAGGCUAGACAUCCCAUUACCCUCUGUACUCCCUUUAGGUUACGAAUCGGGCCCAUAUUUGCGAUGGCCGAGACCUUUUCUGGGUUGGCCUCGAUCCCCCGCUCAGACACAAUAAACCCGAGGAGCAUGCCUCGGGGGACCCCGAAAACGCACUUUUCAGGGUUGAGUCUGACCCCUUUUGCCCUAAGGCAUUGGAAUGUUUCUUCUAGGUCGGCAACCAGGCCGCUCGCUUUCCUGGACUUGACGACAAUGUCGUCCACGUAAGCUUCUACCGUUUUGCCUAUAAGGUUCCCAAAAACCUGGAGCAUACACCGUUGAUAUGUAGCCCCCGCGUUCUUGAGCCCAAAAGGCAUGGUUACGUAGCAAUACAUUCCGAAAGGGGUGAUGAAUGAAGUCGCGAGCUGGUUGGACUCUUUCAUUUUGAUUUGGUGGUAGCCGGAAUAAGCAUCAAGAAAAGACAAAAUUUCACAUCCCGCGGUAGAGUCAACUAUCUGAUCAAUACGAGGUAAUGGAAAGGGAUUCUUUGGGCAUGCUUUAUUUAAACUAGUAUAGUCUACACACAUCCUCCACUUCCCAUUUUUCUUUUUAACUAGCACGGGGUUGGCUAACCACUCGGGAUGGAAUACCUCCUUGAUGAAUCCGGCCGCCAGCAGCUUGUGGAUCUCCUCCCCGAUGGCCCGACGUUUCUCCUCGUCGAAUCGGCGCAGGCGUUGCUUCACGGGCUUGGAGCCGGCUCGGAUGUCCAAGGAGUGCUCGGCGACUUCCCUCGGUAUUCCAGGCAUGUCUGAGGGACUCCACGCAAAUAUGUCGGCGUUUGCGCGGAGAAAGUCGACGAGCACCACUUCCUAUUUGGGGUCGAGGCUGGAGCUGAUCCUCAAUGCCUUGCCUCCAGAGGUCCCUGGGUCGAGGGAGAUUAGCUUGGUCUCUUCCGCUGGCUCGAAACUCCCGGCGUGCCGCUUGGGGUCGGGGACGUCCGGGUCACAGUCGCCGAGGCCGGUGAGGAUGGCCAGAGACUCAGCCAGAGCCUCGGCCUGCUCAAUGCACUCGACGUCGCACUGGUAGGCGUGCUGGCUGGUCGUGCUGACGGUGAUGAUGCCCUUUGGCCCCGGCAUCUUGAGCUUGAGGUAGGUAUAGUUGGGGACGGCCAUGAACUUGGCGUAGCAUGGUCAUCCUAGGAUCGCGUGGUAAGUCCCCGGGAACCCGACCACGUCGAAAGUGAGGACCUCCCGUCUAAAGUUGUCGGGGUCCCGAAGCAGACGGACAGAUCGAUCUGUCCGAGGGGGUGGGCACGAUGCCCCGGCACCACUCCGUGGAAGGGUGCGGUGUCGUUCCUCAGCCGGGACUUGCUGAUCCCCAUGAGGGCCAGAGUUUCGGCAUAGAGGAUGUUGAGGCCGCUGCCUCCAUCCAUCAGCACCUUAGUGAGACGGGUCUCGGCGAUGAUGGGGUCGACGAUCAGAGGAUAGCUACCGGGAUUGGGGAUUCGAUCCGGGUGAUCCUGUCUGUCGAACGUGAUCGCGUUCUCGGACCAUUUGAGGUACGAGGGCGCGGCCGCGCUGACUGCGCAGACUUCUCGGAGUUCGUGCUUCCUCUGACUCGUAGUGAGGCGAGCCGCUCGUCCCCCAAAGAUCAGAAGGCAGUUCUUGACCUUGGGGAAAACCUCCCCCUGGGGGUCGUUGUCCUUGGGAGGCUCUUCGGCACUCUCCUUGGUGAUGAUGUCGGUGUAGUACCGACGGAGGACGGUACACUCCUCAAGGGUGUGUUUGGUUGGCCCCCUGUGAUAGGGGCACGGCUUCUUCAACAUUUCGUCGAAGAGACCGGGGCCAGCAGGAGCCCGCUUGGGGUUCUUGCGAUCUGCCGCGGCGACCAGGUUGUCGUCCGACUGACCCUGCCGCCCCUUGCGGCCCUUCUUCUUCUUCUUGGGGUCGCGCGAUCCCGAGGCCUCGGCGGCCUCAGCCUUCUGUUUCCCCUUGGCUGUGCUGUCGGAGAAAAUGGCGCCAACUGCUUCUUCGCCUGAAGCAAAGUUGGUGGCGAUGUCGAGCAGCUGGCUAGUGCUCGUAGGGGUUUUUCGUCCGAGCUCGUGUACGAGCUCUUUGCAAGUGGUGCCAGAAAUGAAGGCUCCGAUGACGUCGGAGUCCGUGAUGUUGGGGAGCUCGGUGCACUGCUUGGAGAAUCGCCUGAUGAAAUCUCGGAGAGACUCAUCGGGCUUCUGCCGGCAACUCCUGAGGUCCCAGGAGUUCCCAGGGCGCACGUACGUGCCCUGGAAGUUCCCAACGAAGAUCCUAACCAGGUCGGCCCAGUCGUGGAUCAUGCGCUCAAGAAGGUGCUCAAGCCACGCCCUGGCCGUGUCGGCCAGAUGCAGUGGGAGGUUGCGGAUGAUGAGCAGGUCGUCAUCCGCUCCGCCUAGCUGGCAUGCCAGGCGGUAAUCCGCCAGCCAGAGCUCAGGGUUAGUUUCUCCUGAGUACUUGACGAGGUUGGCGGGCUGUCGGAAUCGCGCAGGGAACUUGGCCCUGCGUAUGGCCUCGCUGAAGACGCGGGGACCCGGAGGCUCUGGUGACGUGCUUCGGUCGUGAUCGGGGUCGUACCUCCCGCCUCGGCGCGGUCGGUAACGUCGGGACUCGGCCUCGUCCCUGUCACGUCGCCUGGCCUCGAGGGUGGCCCGUACGUCCGCGUCAGCUCCGACGCGCUCGUGCACUGAUGGGGCCCUGUUGCCCCCUUGUGGGUUAGGGGGUGGCGGACCCUGUAUCGUUGGUGCCUUGUUAGGAGGGGGUCGGUCCCCACGACGUCUCGUGCUAUGGGAUUGUGAGGCAGAACUUUCCGCGUUCUGCACCACAGCCUGCUCCAGAAGGCCACGCAGCCCCUGGCGCACUCUCCUUCCCUCAGGAGUCGAAGGCUCGGGCAUCGCCCUGAGGAGGAGCGCGGCGGCCAUCACAUUCUGGCUGGCCGUGUUGAAGACUGGGGCGUCUCCCCCUUGGUCUUCGACAAUGCGACGGUUGACGUCACGGGCGCGACGUCUGGCUUCACCCCCGUCUCCGCGGCCUGACGGCUCUCGGACCAGGGCCUCGCGGAGUUGGCGGAGGCAUGUGCGCUCUUCUUCGAGCCUGGCCUCCAGCUCAUCGAGCUGUGCGAGGUCAGGACGGUGUCCCCCAGCGGGGGCAGAUGCUACCCCACGGGCUCCGAGAUUAGUUUCGGGAGUUGGAUUGGGAGGUGGAGUUGCGUUCUCUUGCCUGGAGGGCCCUGCGUCCCCCUAGGCGUUAUGCGGCGUGCCUCCGACUUCUAAGUUGAAGCACUCUCGUGACGGGUCGUAGCUUCCGUUGUCGGAGUCGGAGUAGCCGAGACAAUAGUUGCUGGCCUCCAAGAAGCGCAUGAAGGUCUCCGGGUCGCCAUACCCGGAGAUAUCAGCGCCAGCCCACUCGUCGUCGCCUGAGGUAGGAUCCUCCGGGUAUGACGAGACGGGCGGUGUAGAGAUGAGGUCCAGCGUAGACUUCAAGUGGUGACCUGGAAGUUCCGCGUACGCACUUAACGAAGUGCUCACGGAAGAGGCGUAGGUGGCGGCGGCAUUCCUGAGCCCAAAAGGUAACUCGGGAGGUGCCGCUGCCUCUCCUUCAUCCGUAGGUGGAGGAGGACGGGACGUUGAGGCCCCUUUGUCCCCCUUGCGUGGGACGGGCGCGGGCCGUGCCUUCCCCUUCGAACGGGGUGGGACGGGUGGCCGCGAUGAUCCUCUGUUGGUCCUGGGAGCGGAGCUUGAUGCCCCGCGAGCCCUUCCUCUAGCGCCUGUCGGGUCGGAGGAACGGGCGACCUGGUGAGGAAUAUGCGGGGGGAGGGCCGGACGGGUCCUAGCCUCAGUGGUAGGGUCGGAGAUCCUAGAUCUCUGACGCCCCCUCCGUGAGACCCCCGCACGGUGUCCCGAACGGCUCCCACGCACUGACUGUGGUGGGAUCGGCUCGGGACUAAGCUCGACGUCACCACGUGGCGGGAGGAGGACCAUGUCGUAGCCGGAACCGAGGGACAUGAACUCCAAACUCCCAAACGUCAUGAUGGUGCCGCGACGGAGCGGGUGAAAUCCGUCUGCCAUCCAAGCCUUCCCAGUAGGGACCGGCGAGCGUCACGCAGAAGGCCCCUACCUGGCGCGCCAACUGUCGGCGUCUAGACUCGUGGUCUAGGCACUAACAAGUAUGAGUCUGCGUGACUGACCAAACUUGGAUGGUGAUGCAAGUGAGACACAGAGGGUUUAUACUGGUUCGGGCCAAGAAUGCCCUACGUCCAGUGCGAUCGGAGGUUCUGUAUAACCUUGCACCCAAAGGUGCUUGUAGUAGGGGGUACAAGCAGGUUGCGAGAGAGGGCUAAGUCCCAGGUCUCGGCUUGGUGGUGGACAGAGUGCGGGUUGCUGCUCUGGGAAAGAGUGUUGUGUGUGUGAACCUUCUGGCCUCUGCCUUUAGUAGUGAGCCCUGGCUCCCCUUUUAUAGCCUCAAGGGGAGGACAGGUAUUUACAUGAGUAGAUUUCUUCUGUUGAAGGGUGAAACCACAGUCCUGACCCUGUUGAAGCUGGUCCAUCUCGUCCUUGGGGGAUGGUUGACAGUAUGGCUGCUCCUGUAGAGGGUUACCGAGCCCUGUAGGGGUCGCGGGGGUCGGAUCGCCGGCACUGCUGCACAUGCUGUCAAUAGUGGGAAAUGACCUCAAAUAGUGGUGCUGAUUAACCUCCCCCAUUCCCUUUCUACUGUGAGGCGGUAUGCCACAGUGAAAGAGGUAAGGGUGCAUAGUGACAGAGGUAAGGCCACAGUGACCAGGGUGGUUGGAACAGUCGUCGCCUUGCCCUGCCGCGGUAUGGGAGUUAUCGCGUCUGUCAUGUCGUGGGUACGGGCGCCGUGCGGUGGAAGUCUUGCCGCCCAGGCGGAGUGGGGUCCGGCGCCCGAGCCUGGACGGGGUCGGGCGAGUCGGAACUUGCGUCCGAGACCCUGGGGGGUCGGGCGAGUCGGAACUCGCGUCCGAGACCUUGGGGGGUCGGGCGAGUCGGAGCUCGCGUCCGAGGCCCUGAGGGGUCGGGCGAGUCGGAACUCGCGGCCGAGGCCUUGAGGGGUCGGGCGAGUCGGAACUCGCGGCCGAGGCCUUGAGGGGUCGGGCGAGUUGAAUGAACUGGGGCCCGUACCCUGAUGAUUCUGGUUAGUAUGUUUUUUUUGCGUUUUUUAUUGCUCUGAUUUGGGUAUCCCUUAUUAUGGUACCCAACAUAUGCUUUGCAAUGCUUAUGAUGACAUGAUCCAGUUUUAGUGUUCGUAACAUCAGGGAUGUUACAAAAAAUGCAUGAGUCCUCACUUUAUUUUCUAAUAAGACGCUAUCAUCAACAUAAUUAGUGGUGAUUGGCUGAUAAAUGAAAGUAUUUAAUGCCAGAUGGGUUUCUGUUCUAGAAUGUAUUAUAUUUGAGGACAAAUCUUAAAGGCUAGAAUGCUCUAUAUUACAGGACGGAGGGAGUGUGUUAUGAAUGAGAUUAUAAUAGAUUGUGGAUUAUAAUAAUCUAAAUUGUUCGAAUCCCUAAAUUAUAAUGGGUGGAUUAGUUAUUAGUACAAAUAACCAUAUAGUGUCAUUGCAAACGUUGAGGGGUAAUUUGAUCCUUUUACCACCCAUCAUUUCCAAUUAGCAAGUCUCAAGUGGAUUACAUGAUUAUUACAAUCCGGUUCUUGAAUUAUAAAAGUCAACUACAUACUAAAAAAUCUCUUAUAUUUGGAUCACUAUUAGUUUAUUUUAGCUGAUUAUGGUAAUCUAACUGUGAUCCAAAUAAGGCCUAAAAGUGUUCUUUUAGACAGAAGGAGGUCAUGGUACCGUUGUACUAUUAUUUAAUUUUUUUGUGAUUACUACCACUAAUUAACUGUACAUGGUUCUCAGUAAUACUAGUAGUACUUAGGGCACCUCUGAUCAUAACUAUCAGAUUCCCACUGUUGGAGAUGAUUAUGUGAACACCCUAUAAUACUAGGGAACAGGAAACAAUAGGAAGAACUUACAAUAUGAAAGGUUUAUGAUACACUAUUAUUAGAGGAAAAAAUGUAGAUUUUUUAGUGAGAAGGGGAUAAAUAUGUUUUAGAACUAUCAAUAAACUUCUUGCUACAUUUCUCCAUAACGUGCAUGUAAUCUACACCUUAUUUAGUUAUACCCAAAAUCCAAAAACUUUUCAAGAUUCUCUAUCACAUCGAAUCUUGCGACACAUGCACGGAGUAUUAAAUAUAGAUAAAAAAUAAUUAAUUGCACAGUUAAUCUGUAAUUUGUAAGAUGAAUUUUUUGAGCCUUGUUAGUUUAUAUUUGGAUAAUAUUUGUCAAAUAUAAACACAGUAAACAAACAUUUUACCGAGAGAACUAAACAAGGCCCUAGUAUUUAACUAUAUACGCAACAUGCUAUGUUCUAUGUGCAUCUUUUCUUUUGCGGACGUACAAGUAACUAUAUAUAAUUGAUGUUCGCAAAAUGAAAAGAAAGUACUCCAAUUGAUGAUACCGUCAUAAAAAAAACUGUCACAGAGUCGCCAUCAACUUAUGCCCUGUUUAGUUUUUUUAAAAAAAAAUUUCAUCCAUCCCAUCGAAUCUUUGGACACAUGCAUAGAACAUUAAAUAUAGAUAAAAAAAUAAACUAAUUACACAGUUUGGUUGAAAAUCGCGAGACGAAUCUUUUAAGCCUAGUUAGUCCAUGAUUAGCCUUAAGUGCUACAGUAACCCACAUAUGCUAAUGAGAGAUUAAUUAUGCUUAAUAGAUUUGUCUUGCAGUUUCCUGACGAACUAUGUAAUUUGUUUUUUUAUUAGUUUCUAAAAACACCUUCCGACGUCCUUCCGACAUAUUCGAUGUGACACCUAAAAUUUUUUCAUCAACGAUCUAAACGGGCCCUUAGAUCGAAUGAAACUAGGACUCCAUUCAUAGAUGACUAUCCUGCACCUGUCCCAGCGCGCGCAUUGAAUUCGUGAUUCGAUUGGCAGCACGCCAUACAAUUCAGAAAGUACAGUAACACACACUUUUUUUCCCCAUUUGACCUUGAGAGAAACAGUUUACUAUCUUUCGCACAGGCCACUACACUCCCCCCGUUUGAAAUCGUGUAAAAGCCACGUGCCAUCCUCAUCGAUCCCAACGAAGCAUUUCCCUUUUACUUUGGCAGAGAGCACUCUCGACUUCUUCUUUUUACAAUAUGGGGCUAUUUUCGUCCUUUUUGCGCCCUUUUGCGAUGUGUACGGACCCAUCGUAGCAUGGACCCAUCGGCGAUGGCGCCCUGUCCUGCCUCUCCAAUUGCUCCCUUUCCACCCCUUGCCUCUCCAACCUCCACCAAGGAAUUCUUUGCCCAAUGCGCUCAUCGUCCCCGUCACCACCUCUCCCCACGCACCAUCGCCGAUCCUAUUGCCCACAUACCUCGCGUCAUCUCCGCUCCGCCUCCUUCUCGCCGGCUUCCUGUGUGUCAUCCUGUCGCUGUCACCGUCUCGUUGUUUGCUACCACCACUGCCGCACCGGCUGGCUGGCUGCGCUGAAACAGCAGCCGCGCUACGCUGACCGGCGAGGGCGGCCGGCAAGACUGGCCGUUCGUCCGGUCCUCCCCCUCCGGCCUCCGCGCAACGGCGCAAGGGACGCGACGGGGCCGGCCUCGGCCUCGGCCUCGGCCUCGUGCUUUUUGUGCGUGGUUGGAGUGGUUGAGCCGAUGGCGACGAGCGAUCCCGGGCGGCGGGCGUGGCGCCAUGACGGCAACCAUUUUAAUACGCGCGCCCAGCAGCUGAAACCUGACAAGCUAACCAGAUUUUAGGUGGUUACCCGUGUCGCCUCCCACCCCUCCCUCGCCCUUCGCCGCGACGCCUCCUUUUCCGCCCAGCGCCCAGGUCCGGUCCGGUCCGGCCCGGCCCCAGGAUAUAGUUCCCGCUCUCGUCGCUUGCGCUUGUUUCUUCCUCCUCGUCUCAGGCCUCCCCCGCCGCGCGCCCGCGCCUUUCGGUUCGGGUUCAGCGAAUUCAGCCACAAAGCGAGUGGGUGGCCGGAGAGGCCCUGUACGUUACCCGGCCGGCAGCGAGUUCCUGGUAACGGAACUCGCUCGCGCGCUCGCUUUCCAGUUUCCUGUCCAGGCGACGACCGCCGCCCCGGCAGUUUUCUAUUCCAGCGUCGCGGUUCCGGGUCAGACAUUGGUUGCAGGCUCCAAGCCAGUUGCCCGGCGCCGGAUCGUCUUGUGACAGCAGCAAGUCCACGGCGGCGGUUAGUGGUUGAGCAAACCAGUGGCCUGCCUUGGCUACUUACCAGCUUGCUUCGCCAUGGACAACUUCGGUUCCUGCUGAUCUCUGGAGUGGAGCUGCGAGCCGGCUCUCGGCCAUCAUGGCGGCGGACCACGGGGAGGGCGUCGGCCGGUGCAUACUGGUGGGGCUGCACAUGGACGCCGUCGGCAGGGACCUGCUCCGGUGGGCGCUCCACGAGGAGGCCAGGCGGGGCGACCGCAUCGUCGCCGUGCACAUUUACCGCAAGUCCGGUUGGUAUCCGCCAUGAACAAACUUGGCAGCUCGUUUAUUUCAGUUCCAAUCCCGGUGAAGUGGUUGGGAAUUACUAGCGGUUUUUUCUUCUCUUGAAUGACAUUUUCUUGUUUCUCGUCGCAGACAAGACGAACACACUGAAGCUGAUCAGGACGCUGGACGACUACCUGGCGGACUACGAGGCCCUCUGCAACCAGAAACAGGUGAGCAAGGAUGGGCAGGAAUGAGAGCAGUGGGCCGGUGGCGAGGCUGCUACGGGAGUUGUGUGCCAUGUUGCUGCCGAUUCAAUUCACAUGCCGCCAUUGAAUGGUCUGUGUCAGGUCGUUCUUGUCGGUCGGGUGACGCCGGGGAGCUCGAUCCAGAAGGAGCUGGUGAAGGAGGCCAAGCUCUGCGCCGCCAUGGUCGUGGUGCUUGGCGCCAAUAAGAAGUACUCCUUCGGGUAAGCACGCUGCUGGCAGCAACCUUUGUAUGAUCUAACUGUUUGUUUCGUCACCAUUCCUUAGCAGCUCCCCUUUUUUUUUUUCAUUUUGGUUGUGGUUGCGCAGAGGGUCGUCCUGCCUGGCCAAGUACUGCGCCAAGAAGUUGCCGCCGACAACCACCGUCGUCGCCAUCCAGGACGGCAAGGCCGUCUUCGUCCGGGAGGCGCCCAAGCCACCACUUGGUAAUCAAGUGCCCCUUAAUUAAGUGUGGUUAUUAGUUAUGGAGGCUUUGGUUAGCGAGUCGCUAAUCGUUUGGUGGCGAGCUGGUGUGCAGGAGCAGAGCCGAAGCCGGUGCUCCGCACGGUGCUGCACCCGAGCGUGGGACUGGAGCCCAAGGUGAUCAUCCCGAACCCGAACCGGAGCGCGCGGUCCAUGGACUUGGACGCCCGGAGCUGCGGCCACGGCGCCGCGGCCGCGCCGGCAACCAAGUCCUUCGACGACGCCACCAAAGGCGACGGCAGCGUGACGCUCGAGCAGAGGCUCGGGUGGCCGCUGCUCCGCCGCGCGCACGCCGCCGCCGCCGCAGCUGCCCCUGUACACACGCCCAGCGCCAAGAAUCAUGAGCCGCGGAAGCAGUCGGUGGUGCACUGGGUGAUGAGCCUGCCCCGGCGGUCCGCGCCGUCGGAGUCCGCCGAGCCGCAUGCCGGGGCGGGACUCGAGUCGGAGCUCAAGGCAAUGCUUGGUGGCAGUGGCGCCCAGUGCCGGUGGUUCCGCUACGAGGAGCUCUACGACUCCACCAACCACUUCGCCGCAGGUUCUUUCACAUCUCGCGCCUUUCAGGUUUCAGCUCACACGAUUCAUCGUCGUCACCAAGACACCAACCCAGUUCUUGGCUUGUCGCAGACAACCUGAUUGGGAACGGAGGGAACAGCAGGGUGUACAGGGGCAGCCUCGCCUGCGGGCAGCACGUGGCGAUCAAGCUGUCCAAGGCGUCGGCGCAGGCGUCCAAGGACUUCCUCCGGGAGGUGGACAUCAUCACCAAGCUGCAGCACCACCGGAUCGUCCCCUUGAUCGGCGUCUGCGUGGAAGGCCGCAACCUCAUCUCCGUCUACAGCUACCUCCCCAGGGGCAGCCUCGAGGACAACCUACACGGUACCACCAGCACAUGUCCGACAGUUACAUCUUCAGUUGUGUUCAUGUGAAGUCACCCCGAAACCCAAUUCGCCUCAGUACGGUGGAUUUGCUUCUAAGGAACCGGGAAUUCUGCAGACAACGAUUCGUACAAGAGACUAGUUUUUUCUCAGGAAACGGAAACGGGUCGCGUUCAGAACAGUUGAGAGGUGUGGGAGCAGUUGAGUUCUUCACUCUGACGUCUGAUUGCUGCUGUGGUCUGCAGGAGAAAGGUCAAAGCCGGCGCUGUCAUGGGAGAACCGGUACAAGGCGGCGUUGGGGAUCGCGGAGGCCCUGAGCUACCUGCACUCCGGCAGCUCGCGGCCGGUGAUCCACCGGGACGUCAAGUCGUCCAACAUCCUCCUCGCGGAAGAGUUCGAGCCUCAGGUAGUUACGAACACUGACAUGGAUCCUAGUCGUAGCGAAGCUUUUCGUUUGGACUUGAACUCUGAACUCCCUGUUGCGGCAGCUAUCCGAUUUUGGGCUGGCCAUCUGGGCGCCGACGAACCCGACCUCCCUGACGCACAGCGACGUCGUUGGCACAUUCGGGUACCGUCUCUUCCUCCAAGCCUGUUCCUCGGCGGCGUUGUAUUGUACCCGGUGUUCUGUGGUUCGUCCACACAAAUUGAUGUUUUCUUUUUAUUACUGUGCGAUGCAGGUACCUGGCGCCGGAGUACUUCAUGUACGGGAAGGUGACCGACAGGGUGGACGUGUACGCGUUCGGCGUCGUCCUGCUGGAGCUCCUGUCCGGCCGGAAGCCCAUCAGCAGCGACGGGUCGUCACCCAAGGGCCAAGAGAGUCUCGUCAUGUGGGUAAGAGCGCAAUCCUAUGCUACCGAUCAACCAUCUCAUGUCUAGUUAAGUGGUAAUUCAGCACGCAGAGGACAGAGUAACAAAUUGUCUUUGGCGUGACAGGCAACUCCGGUGCUUAGCAGCGGCGACAUCUCUGACCUACUGGACCCGAGGCUGGACGUGAAGCACGACGAGGUGGAGGUGAGGCGGAUGGCCUCUGCGGCGUCGCUCUGCCUCCGGAGGUCGGCUCGACUCAGGCCGCCGAUAUCGCAGGUCAGCCAGCCUCCAACCAGCUUUAGCUCGUGCAAUUUGCAUUUCACUGACCAGUCUUUUUUUUUUGUGCCGUGCAGAUACUGAGCAUACUACGAGGAGAAAGCACGGCGAGCAUCGCCGACCAGGACGCAACGGAGCCGGACUGCCUAGACGACGAGGCUUACCCGGCGGCGAACGUGAGGUCACACCUGGACCUCGCGCUUCUUGACGUGGAAGACUCCGAGUCAAUCUCUAGCACGGAGCACAGCAGCGGCCUCAGCCCGUUGGAAGAGUACCUGCGAGAACGUUGGAGCCGAUCGUCCAGCUUCGACUGAUUCAAGCCUGCGAUUUUGUGGUCAUGUAUUUUCCAAUUUUUUUACCUUCACCUCUUCACCCACCCCGGUACUACACAUGUUUGUUGUAUGGUUUGAUUACCGGGACCGUGUGUACAGUUUACAAUCAAAAAUCACCAGAGCCACAUUUUCGGCGACAAAUGGCUUCCUGACAAGAUUUCGACAAGUCAACGGGUACUAUCAGUAAAUCUUAAGAGACCAGUUGUCAGUUGCUGCAAUUAAUCCAUUCAUAUAUACAAAUAAAAGAGAUUAAGGAUAGAACAAAUACUGCGUGUCAUACAACAGUAACAGUUAAGCUUUUGCAGUUCAACUGCUUACAUAAACGUGCGAAAUAAUUAACGAACAUUACAAGUUUUGCCAGAACUCUAUUGGCCUCAAACAAACACGAUUGGAACAAAGCUGGAAAACUGCGGCAGGGAACCAUUAUCUCCCACAUCCACACAGCUCUCUCCCAACAUCUCAUCUAAUUCUCAUCUACCUCGACAGAUGUUUAAAAUGGUACGACAUAUGGCAGCUGGUACAUAUGAAGGUCCGGCAGAAAAGUGGCCCUGGGUUGCAAAGAAGGCUGCUGCUGCACCAUUGGAUGGAUCGGCCCUACACCACCAGUUGAUUUGCAUUGAGCCAUGCUAGCAUCAGAGUUCCUUGUACUGCUCAACAGCCAAUCUUGAUCACCAAGAUCUGAACCUUCAUUCUCUAGCGAUAUCGGAUUCCAGGUAACAAACAGAUCUCUGAACUUCUUUUCUUUCUUCUCAGCUUUGCGGAUUUUCUUCCGAUCUGACCGGGAGAGCUUAGUAUCCUGCACUUGAACUGUUUCUGCACUUCUACCAGAGAAGCAAGGCUCUUCUUUUGGCAAAGAGGUGAUGAGAUCCUGCUGCUUGAGAACAGUCAAGUCCUUGGGUUUUUGCAGAACAGGAGGCUGCGGGGCGUCUGGUAGGCAAACAGCAGAUCUCGUUUCUUUCUGUAACACCUUCGCUAACUGAGGAUCAACUUUCUGUGACACCAUGGAAGCUGGACGCUGAACUCCCUGUGACACCAUCUUAACAGGUGGAGGAUCAAAUCUUCCCAUCACUCCAGCAGGUGAAGACGCCACACUUCCCGAAAACUUUGGAGGUAGGUCAGAUCUUCCAACUGGCGCCUUAACAGACAACGGGGGAUGAACCGGAUGUGUGACCUUCGCUGCAGGCUGGGGAACAACUCUCUGCAUGGUCUUUGCCAGACUUUCUGUAAUAAUACAUUUUUGUACUGCUUGGGAGUCACCAGUUACCCUCUGCUGAGCAGAUGUAGAUCUCACAUUCACCUUAUGAUG